rnacentral:rRNA from 1 species
GACGAACGCUGGCGGCGUGCUUAACACAUGCAAGUCGAACGGAAAGGCCCUGCUUUUGUUGGGUGCUCGAGUGGCGCACGGGUGAGUAACACGUGUGUAACCUGCCCUUGCCUUUGGGAUAACUUCAGGAAACUGGGGCUAAUACCGGAUAUGCGCUCCUGCUGCAUGGUGGGGGUUGGAAAGUUUCGGCGGUUGGGGAUGGACUCGCGGCUUAUCAGCUUGUUGGUGGGGUAGUGGCUUACCAAGGCUUUGACGGGGAGCCGGCCUGAGAGGGUGACCGGCCACAUGGGGACUGAGAUACGGCCCAGACUCCGACGGGAGGCAGCAGUGGGGAAUAAUGCACAAUGGGCGGAAGCCUGAUGCAGCAACGCCGCGUGCGGGAUGACGGCCUUCGGGUUGUAAACCGCUUUCGCCUGUGACGAAGGGUGAGUGACGGUAAUGGGUAAAGAAGCACCGGCUAACUACGUG